GGGUUGGUAGCUCAGUUGGUAGAGCAUCUGACUUUUAAUCAGGUGGUCCAGGGUUCGAUUCCCUGCCAACCCACCA
rnacentral:tRNA from 1 species